rnacentral:rRNA from 1 species
GACGAACGCUGGCGGCGUGCUUAACACAUGCAAGUCGAACGGAAAGGCCCUGCUUUUGUGGGGUGCUCGAGUGGCGAACGGGUGAGUAACACGUGAGUAACCUGCCCUUGACUUUGGGAUAACUUCAGGAAACUGGGGCUAAUACCGGAUAGGAGCUCCUGCUGCAUGGUGGGGGUUGGAAAGUUUCGGCGGUUGGGGAUGGACUCGCGGCUUAUCAGCUUGUUGGUGGGGUAGUGGCUUACCAAGGCUUUGACGGGUAGCCGGCCUGAGAGGGUGACCGGCCACAUUGGGCCGGGGAUACGGCCCAGACUCCUACGGGAGGCAGCGGGGGGGAAUAUUGCACAAUGGGCGGAAGCCUGAUGCAGCAACGCCGCGUGCGGGAUGACGGCCUUCGGGUUGUAAACCGCUUUCGCCUGUGACGAAGCGUGAGUGACGGUAAUGGGUAAAGAAGCACCGGCUAACUACGUG